AACAAAACCAAGAAUCCCUAGCCACCCAGAACAGAAGAAGAUUAUGCAGACGACCUUCAUCGCCCUACGGGAAAUGGGAAAUCCGAUGGUGCAGGAGAGGACUAGUUCAGUGGCUUCAAGAAACCCAAAUUGAGGAACUAUGAUUAUGGGCCUGGUAGUGUGGAGAUAGCUGCAAAGGCAAUCUGUACAUGACAAUUUUUUCUAAGAGGAAUACAAUUGACUUAUCUCGAGACAAGGAAUCAAGAAAAUAACGUUCUACAAAGACUGCUGAGAAUUCAAAAUGGAUCGUGACUGCAUGAAACAAGUGAGGAGGAGGAGGCAAAGACUUCCCAGCCAACAAUUGGGAAAACCAAAGCUUCCAAAUGGGGUGAUCACAUGAUAUUAGAUGAGGAUGGUUUUAAUUUUGGGAGGGGAAGAAAUGUUGGAGCUCACCACCAGAGCUAUGGCGAUUGGGAGACCAUAUUGGAUGACAAUCGAAAGGUAGAAGAUGAUGUUCGCCCAGACUUCAUGUGUAAGAUCUUUUACUUUGUUCAUCACUCUUACUAUAUUGGCCAGAAACGAAAACUAACUGAAACUAGGAAAGUUUUGAGCUAUUUGUCACUAAUUUGGAGUGUAGUUGAUCUCGUUUGAGUGGUUGUGCUUUUUUCACUGCUUUAAGAGGUUUUAAAUUUAAUCUUCCUCGGGAAAGGCACAUUUGAUACUGGAAACUCAUCAUGUAAUUAAAUCAGAGACUAGAGAAUAUAAACAAAUGCAUUUGUGCAUACAAAACAGAA